UUGUCCAGAAUGUGAGGAGGACCAACAUGAGAUAGAGAAUUAAGAUAUACAGGCUACACAUGGCAUGUGUGACAUCUCAUGAUUCCCUUUUAUUCAAAAAGUUUGGUCCAUAAGGGGUUAAAGGGAUAUUAUAGGCAUCAAAACAACUUUAGCUUAAUGAAGCAGUUUGGGUGUAUAUAACAUGACCCUGCAGUAUCACUGCCUACAGUUAAAGAAAAAAACCAAAACAAAAAAAACAAAAGAAAAAACAAAAUAUAACAGAUGAAAGGUUAAAAUUAGUUGUUGGACAAGAAAGCGAAGUUUGGUAGUUUGUUUUAGUUAGAUACAGGCUUCCCCAAACUCCGGCC